rnacentral:rRNA from 1 species
GCCAGCCCGCUCAGAAACUCAAAGGAAUUGACGGGGCCCGGCACAAGCGGUGGAGUAUGUGGUUUAAUUCGAUGCAACGCGAAGAACCUUACCUGGUCUUGACAUCCCGGAGACCCUUAGGAAACUAGGGGUGCUUCCAUCUGGAAGAAUCUGGAGACAGGUGCUGCAUGGCUGUCGUCAGCUCGUGUCGUGAGAUGUUGGGUUAAGUCCCGCAACGAGCGCAACCCUUGCCUUUAGUUGCCAGCAGUUCGGCUGGGCACUCUAAAGGGACUGCCGGUGUUAAACCGGAGGAAGGUGGGGAUGACGUCAAGUCCUCAUGGCCUUUAUGACCAGGGCUACACACGUACUACAAUGGCCGAUACAAAGGGCAGCGACACUGCGAGGUGAAGCCAAUCCCGUAAAAUCGGUCUCAGUCCGGAUUGGAGUCUGCAACUCGACUCCAUGAAGUUGGAAUCGCUAGUAAUCGUGGAUCAGCAUGCCACGGUGAAUACGUUCCCGGGCCUU